UCUGCGAAUGUUUUUAUCCUCAUCCCAGGUUUGUGUACUUAGUAUAUGACAUUUCUGAUAAGAUGGCUUUUAACGUUCCUUUCUGCCAGAUAACACUCAUCUAGUAAAGGUAGGAUAAGAAAGUAAACUUGUGAUCCACUUCCUGUGGUUGUGCCUGGACUUCGAACAAUUUACAGUGGUUUUUGAAUCUUAAAACGCGUAUCUUUACUCACUAUAUUACAUUCUAAUUCUUAUGUUGAUUACGAUCUUGAUGUUACGGUAAAUUAAAGUUUCCAUGAAGACACAAAAGGAAAUCGCCAUGUUAGAAGUAAUGUUCAUUGUAUGUUUAAUUUCAUCUGUAUUUUCAUCUGAAUCAGAAAUAUUACUAUCUAGUCAACUUUUCACAUUUGCACAGCCACAAUCAUUUUUACAAGUUAAACCAGUAUGGUCAUUGCCAUCCAUCAGGGAGGUGACAUUUCAAUUUAGAACUACUCGUCCUCAUGGUCUCUUACUCUUUCAUGGCUCAGUGACAGAUUUUAAAAUCUUUCCAUUAUAUGAAUUAUAUGUAAUGCUUGAGAAUGGGCAAAUUAAAGUCAUUCGUGUUUUCCAUGAUUAUUCAGAUGAUACUAUUUUUAUUGGAAAAGGACUAAACAGAGACAAAUGGCAUUAUGUAACAUUGAGAAUAAACCCAGGAGGUGGUGUUUUUUCAGUCAAAGUUGAUACUAGUGAACUAACUGUUACAUUACCUUCAUUGUUUCAAGGCCCCAACAAUGGUUUUAAUAGAACGCUGCCUCAAACAGUUAUGUAUUUUGGAGGAUUGGACCCUAAUAAUUAUGAUAUGAUCCAGAAGUAUAAUUAUGUCCGAUUUGUGGGAUGCAUGGGAAACAUAACAUUCAGUGAAUCAGAUAGUCCAUUUUUCCCCGCAGAAGUUAUUAAAGAUAAUCAUCUACAACAUGGGUGUCUUGAUUCCUGUGCAAAAAAGAAUCCCUGCUUAUAUAAUGGCCGUUGCAUAAACCAUUAUACUCAUGCAUCUUGUGAUUGCUUUGGAACAAAUCAUGAAGACCAAAUUUGUUUUAGCGCAGAUCCUGUGACUGUUACUUUUAAAGGUUAUUCUUAUAUUACAUAUCGUUUAUAUGACUGGCGAGAUAGAGUUCAUUCUGAAGCUAUGCGUAUUAGCUUUCAAUUUAAAACGUUUUUUGAAGAUUCUGUUCUUCUAUAUGCAUCUGGUGAUCAUCCUACCAAAAACUAUGUGGCAUUAAGUCUUUUUGGCGGUCAACUUCAUUUUGAAAUAAAUUUUGGAGAUGGUCCUUUAAACUCAACUAUCGGAUAUUCCUUAAAUGAUGAAGCAUGGCAUACUUUGACUAUAUUGCAUCAUGGAAUGAAUGUUAAUCUUCAAUUGGAUUCUCGCUGGAAAACCUCUCUUAAAACGUCACCUUCUCAUCAUCAUCUCCAUCUGGAUCCCGAGAUUUACAUAGGUUCUGCUCCAAAAGAUACCAAAGGUUUGAAAUCAACUGAAAAAUUCAUCGGAUGUCUACGGAGUAUCUAUUUUAAUGAUAAGAAUGUUCUGUAUGCUUUGCAUAGCGGAGAUAGUACGGCACGUUAUAACAGUAUAUUUGCUGUUGAGUAUGGUUGUGAAUCCACUAAUGUGAUACCUGUUACAUUCCCUCUGCCUGAAUCCAAAUUAGUGCUGGUCAUGCCAAAUAAUCAGAAAUUAGAACUUUCAUUAGAAUUCAAAACUUUACAAAGUGACUGUGUCCUGGCUUCAGGUGAAAUUAAAACAGAAAUUGGCAUUGGUGUCUGGGAGCUAUUAUUACACCAAGGAACAGCAUUGUUUGUUAUCAGUGAAUCUCCAAAGGAGGAUCCUAAUAUGUCUUGGACAUUAAAUGAUAAGAUUUCUGGAAAAAAUCUUGCUGAUGAUGACUGGCAUCACGUUGGUGUUGUUUACGAUGCUGGAGAAGUUAAAUUGGCAGUAGAUUACCACCAUAGUUCAAAAGGUGUUUUUACUCAUCCAUUAGAAUUUAUGGGUCAAAUGAUUUUAACCACAAGUGUACAAGAUGCCGAGAGAGGGUUUAUUGGGUGCAUGAGAGAUAUAUAUGUUGCUGGUGAUUGGAUUGAUCCGAGAACAGUUGUUGAUACAAAUCAAGUGUCUGGAAAGGUUUCGUUAGAUAGUUGCCUUCUAGUUAACCUGUGCAAUAAUCCAUAUGCUUGUGAACAUGGAGGUACAUGCUAUGUUGAAAAAGGAGAAACAUAUUGUGAUUGUGAAAAAACUGGAUAUACUGGGCGGACAUGUCAUUUUUCAUUGUAUAAACGCACUUGUGAAGAAUUAUAUCUUGUGGGAUAUCGAAAAAAAGGAGUGUACACCAUUGACAUUGAUCGUAACGGCCCUCUUCCUUCAGCUCAUGUAUACUGUGAUAUGGGUAGUGAUACUGGAGGUCAAAUUAUUACAAGGGUGGAAAACAAUAUGCCUCCAGAAAUGGUUGUUAGGAAGAAAGGAAUGAAAUCGUUUACAGUAGAAGUUGCAUAUAGAGAGUUCACACCUGAAAUGCUUCAGUCACUCGUUAGACAUUCAAAGGUUUGCUCUCAGUACAUGAAAUACGAAUGUUUCAAGACUCCUCUUGGGCUUCGGACAUAUACGUGGAUGGAGUCAUCUGGCAGUAAGAGAUAUAUUACUAGUAUUGGCAGUCAGUCUGAGGGCUGCAAAUGUGCAGAAAAUCAUAGUUGUGCUAAUUCUUCUUUUUUGUGUAAUUGUGAUAUUGCUGAUGCUCGCUGGAGAGUUGAUGAUGGGGAUUAUACUAGUCCAACACAUUUAGGAAUCACUAAAAUCUAUAUAUUACAGCCAGAUAAUUUGGAUGCUUCGGCUGAAGGCCGUCUUACUCUUGGUCCAUUGGAAUGUGUGGAAACAGAUACUCAAGAGUAUGUUAUUACCUUCAAAACGUGGAAUUCAUUCAUUGAGGUGCCUGGAUGGCGUAGAGGAGAUAUUGCUUUCAGUUUUAGGACAUCCAAUAGUCAAGCUGUCUUAAUAUAUCAAUCUUCUAUUCAUCAUAGUCAUGGUUAUUUGAGAGUACUUUUAAUAAAUGAUUAUGAAUUAUCAUUUGAGUUCACACUAAACAAUCGUCCUCGCAGUGUGAGAGUUACUUCGAGAAGAAAACUGAAUUCUGGGGAAUGGCAGCAAGUUUGGGUGGAUCACGAUACUUAUCAUAUGCGUUUUACUGUCAAUUUAGAUUCUGUCAUGGUUGAUUAUGGUGAAUCACAUGGUGUAGGUCCUUUUGAAGGUCCACUCUAUGUGGGAGGUGUCUUAGAAGCUGUUUCUGGUGAUUCUUCAAUAAAAGAAGGAUUUAUUGGGUGCUUUAGAGGAUUAGUAAUUAAUGAUGUUGUAGUCGAUCUGUAUAAGCAUAUGACUAGAAGUGAAUCGGCAAUUGUUCAUGGCUGUCAACCAUCCUGUGCUUCUAGCCCUUGCCAAAAUGGAGCUACUUGUGUUGAAUAUUGGGGGUCUUAUAUGUGUGAUUGUGUUAAUCCAUUUGCCCAUUCUGGAAAAAAUUGUGAGACAAACAUCAAUAUAAAUGCUAUGACUGUGGUUACACCUGGCUCAUAUUAUCACCAUAAAAAUGAAGGAAAUGAAACGAAUCCUGUUUUGGAAAAAGAUAUUCUUCUAAACUUCCGGACAUUCGAGAAAGAAGGAAUUUUACUCUAUGCUUUUGACCAUUACAAUAAUUUUGUGCAACUCCAUUUUGCUAAUAAAAAAGUGUACUUUACUUUCAAUUCAGAUCAAACUGUGUAUCAGUUGCAUGCAGAGGCUCAGGGACUUUCUAAAGGAUUACCAGUACAAAUAAAAGUUGAACGACAGUUGCAACGUACUACACUUUUUGUAAAUGAUAAAAAUUCAUCAGCUGAUGUUGUUAUUAAAUUUGUAGGAAAAUAUUUUCGUAUGCCCUGGCGACAAAAUCAAGAAUUAGAAACUGUUUUUCCACCAAGAGGAACAUACCGAACAAUAGACCACAACGAAAUGUUUUUAGGUCAUGUCGGUAGCGGAACCUCUACUAAUUUUACAAAAUCUGGUUUUGUUGGUUGCAUUCAAGGAUUUAUGAUAGGUGAUAAACUCUUUGAUUUGGAAGCAGCUGCUCUAACCGAUAAUGCCGAUGCUAAAAAUGGUGACUUAGCUCCUGGGUGUGCAAUGCUAUGUGAUAGUCUGCCUUGUCACAAUCAUGGAUUAUGUAUUGAACACUGGAAGGAUAACACAACAUCUUGCGACUGUUCUCUCACUUCUUACACUGGAGAAGCAUGUCAGAAAGAUAUAGGAGGCAAUUUUGAUGGCUACACGUUGUUAACAUAUUCAUUCCAAGGAGAGGAAAUAUCUGAUGAAAUGCGAGCAGAUAUGGCUGUGAGGCUUGCUUUUUCAACUGAUGCUAAAGCUGCUUUUCAAGUUUUGUUGUUUAUUCAACUUCAGGAAAGGAGAUAUAUUUUAUUUGGACUUGCUGAAGAUAACGCCUUAUUUGUCGAAGAAAGAAUCACCACAAACAUUAUUAGAAGAAAAGCAAUGACUAGUAACACUUGGUCUGACAAUAAUAGACAUUGGUUUUACUUUUCAUGGAAAGCUGGAAUAGUCAAUUUAAUUGUAGAUGGAAAAACCUAUAAUCCUUUCAUUCAGGUGAUAGAAACAUCUUCUGAAACUUAUGAAGGGAUUCCAAAUCUUUUGUAUGUUGCUGGCUUACCUAAAGAAAUGAAUAAAAGAGAAUACGGAAGCUUCAAAGGAUGUAUUUCUAAUACAAGGUCUUGAAUGGUUUCCUGAGCCUCUUGUAACAGCAGAUUAUAAAAGUGUUUUUGCGGAUAUGGAAAUGACUCCUCUUGAGAGUAUUAGUAGAACUAGUAAUCGUGUAGCUGCAGUUAUGGGUGUAAUGCUUCUCAUAGUGGUUUUGGCACUUCUCCUAUAUAUUUAUCGCAUUCAUCGUCGUCAUAAAA
rnacentral:misc_RNA from 1 species